AUCCUUUUGUAGUUCAUAAAUAUGAUGAUUGGGUUUUUAUGCACAUGCAUGAAAUGUGCUUCCGACAAAUGUUGUUAUGACAUCGGCACAUUUCCCGUCUGAUG
ensembl:snoRNA